UCAACUCCCCCAAGCCCUUUCAGAGAAAUAUCUAUACAUAUUUUAACCGCACUUGCUACCACGCAUUUAGAAGCACGGAUGGAGCAGGAAAGGAAAGUCAUUAAGGAUCCCCGUCUGGCUAUGUAAGCCUUAAUUAUUUAGAAAGCACACAUCUUGUAAUCCUUACAAAGCCCACGGGGGUGAAUUUGUUAGUUUAUAAUUUUUUGAGUGGCAUGAUAAGAUGAGAUGAUGAACAAGUAGUCACUAACAGUGGUUUAAUCUAAGUGAUCAUCAACAAAGAAAACAAGACAGCAUCUGGAACCAAAGUAAACAGGAGAUAAGAAAUAGAGAGUGCCUGCAAGUUUCCCUUUCCCUUAUCUCUUAAGUUGUGGCUGCUGUUCUGUAUCCAAACUUUUAAGACAACUCUUCAAGCCUAUGUGGCACAAUAUUAUAUAAAAAAAAUUAUUAUAUCGGAAUGCGAGGUAUAGUUACCAAAAGGAACAGUGGACACCCGCAUAAUCCAACCCAUCCACUCUCGCUGUGCGCCUGCUCUGGCCGUAUCUCCAUCCUCUCGCAUCCAAAACCAGCAUCAACACCAGUUACACCACCCACCAAUAAGAAAAAGGCACGUGGAGGAUCAUGACUCUAAAUCAGCUACUGGGUCGGCUACCGACUGGUGUUCCGUUUUGAACCAUUGAGUAUUGCUGUGGAGUGGAGGGACAUUGAAGCUGCACAAUGUUUGGUGUCUUCGGCUAUAAAGUGUGGGUCUAGGGAAUCAGGGAUUACAAGUGCUGAUGGCAAGAGGUUUAUUGAGUGGGGUUCUAUAAGAAUGGAGGUUCCAUGGUGUGAUAGUAAUAGGAUUCUGUUGUCAAAAGAGUAUGUGAGGUUUCCCGUUGACUUGGCUCAUCAGAAAAUUGGAAGAGAACUCGAGCGUUUUUUAGUUGUUUAAGAGAAACAACAAAUGGGUUUGUGGAAUUCACAAUCUUGGAAAAUGGUGAGCAGCAACAAGGGAAUGAUGAUCAGCAGAAGAGAACAGCAAAUAGGGAUGGAUGAAGACGAUGGUGAUGAAGGCGUGAGGUGCUUCUGAUUGAAUGAAAGCUCCCUCCUCUGUGUUUUAUCAUUUUCGUCUCUGUGUUAGGCUCGCUUGCCUUUCCUAGUUCUGUUUCUCAUCAUUCAUUCCUUCUCACCCCCUGUAUUUUUUAGUCUUCUCCUUCGUUCCCCCCUGUUCUCUGUUUCUUUUUCUCUUCGUUCCUCCCUGUUCUCUGUUUUUAUCUUCGUCCCUUCUGCCUCUCUUCCCUUCCUAUUCUGUGUUUGCUCUGUUCUUGCUCUUCGAUCCCCCUCCUUAUUCUUUUUUUUUUAAAAAAAAAACCUCCUUAUAACCAGAGAAUGCCAUGCGGUUACCCAGAUAAUAAAGAUCUUAUGGGACUGUUAUUGCAGAAGUUUGAAAUUCUACAGAAGGUAACCUUGUGUAUGUGCAACAACACAGGUCGAGCUUUUAAUACCUCCAUCACUGCCAUCGGGCAACUCCCACCGCCUCCUCCACUCAGUUCUUAAAAAAGAAGCAAAGAUGGGGUUUGUGAGGGUCUACACAAAACCACAACACUGUGGAGUUGGUCAUGCUCUACAAGAUGAGGUUGCGGUCUAUUUCUCCUCAGACAUACUCAGCAAUUUCUUGAAGAUUUAAACCUGAAAUACUUUUAGCACUUGAUCUUGAUCUUGCAUCAGGAGAAUGGGUUGGGCAAAUCAACAGAGCAUGUCAUGAUAUAGCUGUUGGUGUAGUUUGUAAAUGAAUAAAGAAAAGAUGUUUAUCCCA